GUCUUUUUGGUAUUUAAUAUAAAGUCUGACCUGCCCACUGAAUAUUGUUUGAAGGGCCGCAGUAUUUUGACUGUGCAAAGGUAGCAUAAUCAUUAGUCUUUUAAUUGAAGGCUGGUAUGAAUGGUUGGAUGAGAUACAAGCUGUGUCAUAAAAAUUAAUAUUUGAAUUUAACUUUUUAGUCAAAAGGCUAAAAUUUUUUUAAAAGACGAGAAGACCCCAUAGAGCUUUAUAUAGUAAUUAUUUAAUUUAUUUAGAUUUAUUAAAUUUAAUUAUUGUGCUGUAUUUUGUUGGGGUGACAAUAAAAUUAAUAAAACUUUUAUUUUUAUUUUACAUUAAUUUAUGAUUAAAUGAUCCAGUUUUAUUGAUUAUAAAUUUAAGUUACCUUGGGGAUAACAGCGUAAUUUUUUUUGAGAGUUCUUAUCGACAAAAAAGAUUGCGACCUCGAUGUUGGAUUAAGAGUAAUUUUGGGUGUAGAAGUUCAAAGUUUAAGUCUGUUCGACUUUUAAAUUCUUACAU
rnacentral:rRNA from 1 species